GGUGUCUUGUCUGUAUACCCUGGGCUACCCACCAGCCCAAGCGCAGGGUCUGCAUGUGACCAGCAUCUCCUGGAACUCCACUGGCUCCGUGGUGGCCUGUGCCUAUGGCCGGCUGGACCAUGGGGACUGGAGCACGCUUAAGUCCUUCGUGUGUGCCUGGAACCUGGAUCGGCGAGGCCUGCGUCCCCAGCAGCCGUCGGCCGUGGUCGAGGUCCCCAGCGCUGUCCUGUGUCUGGCCUUCCACCCCACGCAUCCCUCCCACGUCGCAGGAGGGCUGUACAGUGGUGAGGUGCUGGUGUGGGACCUGAGCCGUCUUGAGGACCCGCUGCUGUGGCGCACAGGCCUGACGGAUGACACCCACACAGACCCUGUAUCCCAGGUCAGGGCAGGGGCUGCCGGGUGGGACGGGCCCUGAGGCAGAGCUGGGGAGAGGGCGCCCACUCUCCUAGGAAGGUCAUCCGGGCGUUGGCAGUUGGACAGCUGCCUCCUGCAUUCUCGGAGCUCCCACAGCGUGAGUCACCCCCCUCAGGAGCCACUCCCAGGGCCCUGUGGCCAUUCCCAGCCUCCUCUGCAGGCAGCGCUGGGAUUCUGGGACUGGAGAGGGCCCUGGGAACCCUCCAGGCCUGCCCCCUGGUGGGUGAGCCUGGCUCUGGGGCCUCCCGGAGAAUUCUUUUUUUUCCUGGAAGAGAGGGAGGGUGGGGGU
rnacentral:sRNA from 1 species